GAUGAACGCUGGCGGCGUGCCUAAUACAUGCAAGUCGAGCGAACGGACGAGAAGCUUGCUUUUCUGAUGUUAGCGGCGGACGGCUGAGUAACACGUGGAUAACCUACCUAUAAGACUGGGAUAACUUCGGGAAGCCGGAGCUAAUACCGGAUAAUAUUUUGAACCGCAUGGUUCAAAAGUGAAAGACGGUCUUGCUGUCACUUAUAGAUGGAUCCGCGCUGCAUUAGCUAGUUGGUAAGGUAACGGCUUACCAAGGCAACGAUGCAUAGCCGACCUGAGAGGGUGAUCGGCCACACUGGAACUGAGACACGGUCCAGACUCCUACGGGAGGCAGCAGUAGGGAAUCUUCCGCAAUGGGCGAAAGCCUGACGGAGCAACGCCGCGUGAGUGAUGAAGGUCUUCGGAUCGUAAAACUCUGUUAUUAGGGAAGAACAUAUGUGUAAGUAACUGUGCACAUCUUGACGGUACCUAAUCAGAAAGCCACGGCUAACUACGUG
rnacentral:rRNA from 1 species